rnacentral:rRNA from 1 species
UGGGGAAUAUUGCACAAUGGGCGAAAGCCUGAUGCAGCAACGCCGCGUGAGUGAUGAAGGUCUUCGGAUUGUAAAGCUCUGUCUUUUGGGACGAUAAUGACGGUACCAAAGGAGGAAGCCACGGCUAACUACGUGCCAGCAGCCGCGGUAAUACGUAGGUGGCGAGCGUUGUCCGGAUUUACUGGGCGUAAAGGGUGCGUAGGCGGAUGUUUAAGUGAGAUGUGAAAUACCCGGGCUUAACUUGGGUGCUGCAUUUCAAACUGGAUAUCUAGAGUGCAGGAGAGGAGAAUGGAAUUCCUAGUGUAGCGGUGAAAUGCGUAGAGAUUAGGAAGAACACCAGUGGCGAAGGCGAUUCUCUGGACUGUAACUGACGCUGAGGCACGAAAGCGUGGGUAGCAAACAGGAUUAGAUACCCUGGUAGUCCACGCCGUAAAACGAUGAGUACUAGGUGUAGGAGGUAUCGACCCCUUCUGUGCCGCAGUAAACACAUUAAGUACU